GUUUAGCGGCGAACGGGUGAGUAAUAAGUACAAACAUGCCCCUUUGUAGGACAUAGUCCGCCGAAAGGCGGGGUAAUUCCUAUAGUAUCUUCGGAUUAAAGACGCAAGUCGCGAAGGGAUUGGUGUACUCGCUACCAGCUUGUUGGUGAGGUAAUGGCUCACCAAGGCUAUGACGGCUACCGGCUCUUAGCGGAGAGUCCGGCACAAUGGGACUGAGACACGGCCCAUACUUCUACGGAAGGCAGCAGUUAGGAAUUUUGCGCAAUGGACGAAAGUCUGACGCAGCGACAUCGCGUGUGGGAUGACAGCCUUAGGGUUGUAAACCACUUUUUGGGGCCAUGAAGGCGCCCAGAAUAAGGAACUACUAACUACGUGCCAGCAGUCGCGGUAAUACGUAGGUUCCGAGCGUUACCCGGAUUUAUUGGGCGUAAAGGGUCUGCAGGUGGUUUUCUAAGUCUUGUUUCAAAGUCCCCGACUUAAUCGGGGGAAGGGGCAGGAUACUGGAAGACUAGAGUUAUAUCGGGGUUACUGGAAUUUGUGGUGUAGGGGUAAAAUCCGUGGAUACCACAAAGAACACCAAGCGCGAAGGCGGGAACUAGGUAUAUACUGACACUCAUAGACGAAAGCUAGGGUAGCCAAUCAGAUUAGAGACCUGAGUAGUCCUAGCCGUAAACAUUGUCUGUUAAUUUUCCCCCUUUUUGGGAGGAGAUGCUAGCUAACGCGUUAAACAGACCGCCUGGGGAGUAUAGCCGCAAGGCCGAAACUCAAACGAAUUGGCGGGGAGGCGCACAACCAGUGGAGCAUGUGGUUUAAUUCGAUACGAAGCGAUAAACCUUACCCGGGUUUGAAAUUACCUGCAAGCCCCCAGAAACGGGGGAAUCUUUCGAAGGUGGUACACAGCUGUUGCAUGGCUGUCGUCAGCUCGUGACGUGAGUUGUUCUCUUAAGUGAGGUAACGAGCGCAACCCCUAUCGUAUGUUACUGUAUCAUACGAGACUGCCUAGCAUUAUUUUGUUAGGAGGAAGGAGGGGACGACGUCAAGUCAUCAUGAUGCUUAUAUCCGGGGCUACACACAUCCUACAAUGGGUUGUACAGAGGGUUGCAAUACCGGAGGUGGAGCUAAUCCCUAAAACAAUCCUCAGUUGGGAUCGCAGGCUGAAAUUCGCCUGCGUGAACUUGGAAUUGGUAGUAAUCGCAAAUCAGCAGAUUGCGGUGAAUACGUUCUCGCCUCUUGCACACACUGCCCGUCAAAUCAACAAAGUUGGGGGUACCCAAAGUCUUGCCUCGUGCAGGACCAAGGUAAAUCCAGCGAUGAGGGUUAAGUCGUAACAAGGUAACC
rnacentral:rRNA from 1 species